GUUGGGAUUGGGAGGUAACAACAAACAAGAUAAUUAAAGCACAACGGAAUCAACAACUCUCCCACCUUGUGUAAACCUGUUAGAAAACAAACAACUAGAGCCAAUCCACCUAAUAUAUAUAUAUAUCAAGGCAUUCGCAAAUACUUAGCUGAUCAGAAAAAUAAAACACAAAAGGAACACCAAAUUUUUACGUGGAAAACCUCCCCAAUGUGGAGAGUAAAAACCACGGGACCGUAGUCCACCCAAAAACUUCCACUAUCAACAAAUAAUGGGUAUACAAUCUGUUCUCUCUAGCCAAAACUAGAGGC
rnacentral:lncRNA from 1 species